rnacentral:rRNA from 1 species
GACGAACGCUGGCGGCGUGCUUAACACAUGCAAGUCGAACGGAAAGGCCCUGCUUUUGUGGGGUGCUCGAGUGGCGAACGGGUGAGUAACACGUGAGUAACCUGCCCUUGACUUUGGGAUAACUUCAGGAAACUGGGGCUAAUACCGGAUAGGAGCUCCUGCUGCAUGGUGGGGGUUGGAAAGUUUCGGCGGUUGGGGAUGGACUCGCGGCUUAUCAGCUUGUUGGUGGGGUAGUGGCUUACCAAGGCUUUGACGGGUAGCCGGCCUGAGAGGGUGACCGGCCACAUUGGGACUGAGAUACGGCCCAGACUCCUACGGGAGGCAGCAGUGGGGAAUAUUGCACAAUGGGCGGAAGCCGGAUGCAGCAACGCCGGGUGCGGGAUGACGGCCUUCGGGUGGUAAACCGCUUUCGCCUGUGACGAGGCGUGAGUGACGGUAAUGGGUAAAGAAGCACCGGCUAACUACGUG